AGCAGGGAUCUGGAGGAAGUGUUCUAGAACUCUGCUGAGGCUGGGGUGACUCUUCUUUUCUUGAGAAGAGUGAAAUUAGAUGAAGGCCCAGCUAAGGAGUGGCAGCGUCUGCUGGGGAGAAAAAAACGGGAGAAAUGACACAAGCGGACGGAGUGUUUAGGGGUCACAAGAAUGCAAUGGACUCAGACUCUACAGAUGGUUCCAGGUGCUUCAGUGAAUUUGUUUCCGGGGAGAGCACGCCAAUUCACAGAUGAAUGAGCGAUUCCGAGUGGUAAAUAUUCGACAAGCAACCAUGUGUGGGAGGAGAAUUGGGCCCUGGGUAGCUGUCGAAUGUAUUUGGAAGAAUUUCACUCCUGCCCAAGAUGACCUCUUGAGCUGCUCUUCAGGUUGCUGUCCAGAGGAAUCUGGGUUUUUUUCUAAAGGAAUCCAGGUAGCUAAUACCCCCCUUUAGCACCCAGGUCAGACAACUCACACUUCAGAAGCUGGGCUUUGUGGGUUAUGUAUGCCUGCACCCUAAAACUGCAAAGAAACUGAGUUUCCAUAUGUCGGAGAAGAGAGUCGUGAGCCUAUCUCCUUGAGAAACAGCCCGGUUGAGGCCACAGAGUGGGGAGAGGGACCCGUGUCUUCUCAGCUGCUCACUUCCUAGAAAGCUGUACGGCAAAAUAGCGUGUUAACGAUGUGAAUAUUUAAAUCAACAAGGUGGUCCUGCUGAGCACAAGAUUCCUAUAGGAAACAUUUUGGUAGAAUAAAUAAUCCUUAAUGUACAGUUUCAAAAAUGAAACACAUUUCUGUACUUCCAGUUCCUACAUGGCAAAGCAUCUCUUGACAUCAGCCAGUUUCUGAUCUGUAAGCCACCUCGCUGAAUUUCAGUGUCAGCUACGCCAAAUAACAUCUCUUGGCUGUGAAAAGAUUUUCUGGCAGGCUCUCAGAGACAAGGACAGAUGGCAUUCCGUUGGGGGUACUCCCGGCUCUUUGUUUUAGCAAAUAUUGACACUUUUGUAGGAAACAGAUCCAGAUCCUCUUUCUUCCUAACUCAUCUUGGCAAUCCUGAAGGUUUGGAGAGAGAGAGUUCCAUAGAAUCGGGACAGCGCACUUGCCACAAUUACAAAAGGCAUAUAGCAAGGAGGGUAAUGGUCAUGGUUGAUUGAUGCUCGCAAAGGUCACAAACUAGUAAGCAAUAUUCGGUGAUCACAAAUCACUUUCGAAUAGCAAUGAGAGAGGACAGGUGGGGAGAGGGGACCACGUGAAGGAAAAGCCUCUCCAAAAAAAUCCCCAUUACUGUAGCAAGUGGUUUUAAGAUCCCCAAAAUAUGUAUAAAAAAGAGUGUGUCAUGGAGUUAUAAAAGUGAAAAUAUAACAACAACCUAAACCUUCAUCAGCAGCAAACUGUUUGACUAAAUCAAGAUACAUCCAUAUUAUAGGAUAUAUUGCAGCCUAUAAAGAUGACAGUAUGGACCUGUAUUUGUUUAAUAUGGAAGAUGCAAUCAAUAAAAGUGGUUUUUUUUAAAUUUUUUAAUCUUUAUUUAUUUUUGAGGGAGAGACAGAGUGUGAGCAGGGGAGGAGCAGAGAGAGAGGGAGACACAGGCUCCAGGCUCCGAGCUGUCAGCACAGAGCCCGACGCAGGGCUCGAACUCACAGACCGCGAGAUCAUGACCCGAGCCGAAGUCGGACGCUCAACCGACUGAGCCACCCGAGCACCCCAGAAGUGGUUUUUUAAAAGCAGGUAAGGAUACAACCGGAUGUCGGCAUUCUGCAGCCCGGAAGAGGGUUCCCACCAAAACCCACCCACAGUGGCACAUUGAAUCUUGGAUUCCCAGGCUCCAGAACGAUAGACUUAUGAGCCACCCAGUCCUAUGUUAUUUUUUUAUAGCAGCCAGAACAAAUUCAACAAGCAAAAAAGAAGCCACUGAGUCUUUUUGUAACCUAACCUCGAGGAUGACAUCCCAUCACUUUUGCCAUAGUCUAUAUGUUAGAAGUAAAUCACUAGGCUCCGCCCACACGCAGGGCAAGGGGAGCCCAGGAAGUCAUCUUAGAACCCGCCUACCUCACAGGAAUGCCAUUUAAAGCCGUGCUUUGCAAAGUAAUCCUGAUGAAGGAGCCCUUUUCUCCCCCCGCCCCCCACCAUCUGCUGAACGUCGAUACUUUUUUAAAAUAAAUAUUCAUUUCUAAAAAAACAACAAAGGCAUAAAAAAGCAAACCCACUGGAUGUCGCAUAAUGUCAAACUGCUAUAAAAACUUCUAAACACUUUUGAUUCUAUUAUUUACCUCAUGCGGACCAGAAACAAAUAGUUUUGUGGAUUGGCACCAGUCUCGGACCAUCCUUUGAGUAGCAACAAUUUAAGGAUUUUAAUAAAUGCAGGUUACUUUUCAAGGCUGUUACAAGACAAUCGUUUGUACUUUUCACUUGGCUACUUCUGGAUGGUGGGAUUCCAGAAAUUUUAAAAAACCUGAGUAGAAGUCAUUCCUUCUGUUUGCACUCCACUCUCUCUGCAAACCUAAAACUGGGGUCUUUUGUUUUGAUUAAAGUCAAGAGUGUGUGGGACUGAUCCUGAGUCUCCUGUUUAAGAUUUUACUGCAAGGUCCUUUAUAGGCCCUCCUCGUCACUAAUCUGUGAGCUAGAAUUAAGGCACUUUGGAAUGAAGCAGUCUGACAAAUAAUAUGAUUAUCCACGUGCUUAUUUAUUUAUUCUUUCUUUCUUUAUAUUUAAAGAUUUUUUUUUUAUUAAAUAAUCUCUACACCCAACGUGGGCCUCAAACUCACAACCCCAAGAUCAAGAGUUGCACGCUCCACCGACUGAGCCAGCCAGGUGCCCCUCCAUGCACAUUUUUGAAGAUGAGGGACCAACCCCUUUCCCAACUAAUGUUAGGAAGUUUGAGGGCCCUUGCUGAUGCUAGUCUGUUACUCAGAUCCCUGAAAACGCUUCUCAAGUGUAAAUUCCUCAACUCAACUGAAAACAAUCUUUCUGGAGCACCAACUCUGUGCAAGGUUCUGGAAGAUAAGACUUUGAAGAGAGCCCCAUCCCUGUUCUCACCUGGUUUACAGCACUUCCUUAAUGGUCAUGUACAUCUCAAUAUUUUCCCACGUGAGUACAUCCUUUCUCUUGUUUCUAAGUGUGUCACAUAUCUAUAUCUAAUCUCCCUAAUAAAAUCAUAAACUCACCAAGCAAAAG